rnacentral:tRNA from 1 species
GGUGGGGUUCCCGAGCGGCCAAAGGGAGCAGACUGUAAAUCUGCCGUCUCAGACUUCGAAGGUUCGAAUCCUUCCCCCACCACCAUUU